GGACAUUGGGUGAAAGCGGAAUCAAAAACAAACCGGGUGAGGAAGAGGGCCUUAGGGGUGUAAAAUUCUUUUAUCGGGGAAAAUUAUGACGUUAAUAAACGAAUAAGCCCCGGCUAACUUCGUGCCAGCAGCCGCGGUAAUAAAAAGAGGACUAGUGUUUUUGGUUAUUUGGAGGUGUACCGCCCCCGCAGGGGGAAUUUUUUGUCAGGGGUAAUAUCCCGGGGCUCAACCCCGAAACUACCUUUGAUACUUUCAGUCUCGAGUCCGGGAGAGGUGAGUAAAUUUCGUAGUGGAGAGGUGAAAUUUGUAGAAAAAAAGAAGAACACCAGUGGAGAAGGCGGGUCACUGGCCCGGUAGUGGCGGUGAGGUGCGAAAGAGGGGGGAGCUUGGAGGUUAGAUACCUUUUUUCCACGCGGUCUC
rnacentral:rRNA from 1 species